GACGAACGCUGGCGGCGUGCUUAACACAUGCAAGUCGAACGAAGAGCGAUGGAAGCUUGCUUCUCUCAAUCUUAGUGGCGAACGGGUGAGUAACGCGUAAUCAACCUGCCCUUCAGAGGGGGACAACAGUUGGAAACGACUGCUAAUACCGCAUACGAUCUAAUCUCGGCAUCGAGGAUAGAUGAAAGGUGGCCUCUACAUGUAAGCUAUCACUGAAGGAGGGGAUUGCGUCUGAUUAGCUAGUUGGAGGGGUAACGGCCCACAAAGGCGAUGGUCAGUAGCGGGGCGAGGAGGAUGACACGCCACGUUGGGAAGGAGACCGGGCCCGAACUCCUAGGGGGGGCAGCAGGGGGGAUUUGUACGAAAGGGAGGAAGGGUGGACGGCGCACCGCCGGGUGAGUGAUGACGGCCUUGGGUGUAUAAAGCUCGUUUAAGGGGGAAGAAAGCCCUUCUUGCGAAUAGUGAGAAGGAUUGACGGUACCGAAAAAAAAAGCCACGGCUAACUACGUG
rnacentral:rRNA from 1 species